rnacentral:rRNA from 1 species
UACGUAGGCAGCGAGCGUUGUUCGGAGUUACUGGGCGUAAAGGGUGUGUAGGCGGUUCUCUAAGUUUGGUGUGAAAUCUCCCGGCUCAACCGGGAGGGUGCGCCGAAAACUGGAGGGCUAGAGUGCGGGAAGGGAGAGUAGAAUUCCUGGUGUAGCGGUGAAAUGCGUAGAUAUCAGGAAGAACACCCGUGGCGAAGGCGGCUCUCUGGGACGUGACUGACGCUGAGACGCGAAAGCGUGGGGAGCGAACAGG